AUUCCAUGAUGAGGGCACUUUCGUAAUAAUCUUUUGUACCUUUCCCAUGCCUCAAACAAGGACUCGUCAUCCAUUUGUUGGAAAGUAGUGAUCUAAUUCCUCAACUU
rnacentral:snoRNA from 1 species